rnacentral:piRNA from 1 species
AAUGCUAGGACUUUAGAAUCAGAUUUG